GCUGAGGUAGCUCAGUUGGUAGAGCACGCGACUGAAAAUUGCGGUGUCGCCAGUUCAAGUCUGGCCCUCAGCACCA
rnacentral:tRNA from 1 species